rnacentral:sRNA from 1 species
GGCGCCGAAGGUCGCGGCACUCCCACGCGGACCACGAAGUCCGCAACCCGGGGAUGGGCCCGCGGCUGCGAGGACAAAGCAACAGUAAUUCAGAUACCUGCGCAGAAUUUCGAAUAAAAUAUGUUGGUGCCAUUGAGAAACUGAAACUCUCUGAGGGAAAGGACCUUGAAGGGCCAUUAGACCUGAUAAAUUAUAUAGACGUUGCCCAGCAAGAUGGAAAGUUGCCUUUUGUUCCUCCGGAGGAAGAAUUUAUUAUGGGAGUUUCCAAGUAUGGCAUAAAAGUAUCAACAUCAGAUCAAUAUGAACAAGCACAAGCCAUUUGCAAGGUUUUAUCCACCGCUUUUGACUCUGUAUUAACAUCUGAGAAACCCUGAAUCCUGCAGUCAAGUAGAAACCAACUUCAUCUGAAAGUUCAGCUGUUUUCAAACUGCAAUGCUGAAGUGUUAUGCAAAUAAUGAAGCGAUCCCUUGCUCUAGAUUUUCUGAAGAAAAUGGAUUGUGUAAAAUGCUGAUCAUUUGUUUAUUAAAAUGUGUCCUAUUACACAGUGAGUUAACUCUCAA